GAAAAACAGAAGACUACUCUAAGUGCCAUCACUUUUUUCACUUCAGGAAGCAGAGGAUGGACAUGAUCUUGGAGAUACAGUCAAAAUGUGACCAUCCCACCGGAGCAGCAGGCUGAGGCUACUCUCUGAGCUGCAGACUACCACCAUGCAUAAAUACCAGGAAGUGGCCCAGGUGAAGGUGGACGUCGGUAAACUCAAGUCUCAGAUUGUGGAGUCUCCAGAGGAGCUGAAGAGUCAGAUGGAGAAGAUGAGGGAGAACGUCAAG